rnacentral:rRNA from 1 species
GAGUUUGAUCUUGGCUCAGAGCGAACGCUGGCGGCAGGCUUAACACAUGCAAGUCGAACGGACCCUUCGGGGUUAGUGGCGGACGGGUGAGUAACACGUGGGAACGUGCCUUUAGGUUCGGAACAACACAGGGAAACUUGUGCUAAUACCGGAUAAGCCCUUCGGGGGAAAGGAUUUAUCGCCUUUAGAGCGGCCCGCGUCUGAUUAGCUUGUUGGUGAGGUAAAGGCUCACCAAGGCUACGAUCAGUAGCUGGUCUGAGAGGAUGGCCAGCCACAUUGGGACUGAGACACGGCCCAAACUCCUACGGGAGGCAGCAGUGGGGAAUCUUGCGCAAUGGGCGAAAGCCUGACGCAGCCAUGCCGCGUGGAUGAUGAAGGUCUUAGGAUUGUAAAAUCCUUUCAGCGGGGACGAUAAUGACGGUACCGCAGAAGAAGCCCCGGCUAACUUCGUGCCAGCCGCCGCCGU